rnacentral:rRNA from 1 species
CCCUUAGAUGUUCUGGGCCGCACGCGCGCUACACUGAUGCGAUCAACAAGUUUUUCCUAUGUCGAUAGACACGGGUAAUCUUUUGAACUCGCAUCGUGAUGGGGAUAGAUUAUUGUAAUUAUUAAUCUUCAACGAGGAAUUCCUAGUAGGUGCAAAUCAUCAGUUUGCAUCGAUUACGUCCCUGCCCUUUGUACACACCGCCCGUCGCUCCUACCGAUUGAAUGAUCCGAUGAAUAUCAUGGAUUGAGGAUGCAAGCAGGUUCGCCUGUCUUCAUCUUCGAGAAGUGAAGUAAAUCUUAUCAUUUAGAGGAAGGAGAAGUCGUAACA